rnacentral:rRNA from 1 species
CCUACGGGUGGCAGCAGUGGGGGAUAUUGCACAAUGGGGGAAACCCUGAUGCAGCGACGCCGCGUGAGGGAAGAAUUAUUUCGGUAUGUAAAGCUCUAUCAGCAGGGAAGAAAAUGACCGUACCUGACCCAUAAUCCCCGGCUAACUACAUGCCAGCAGCCGCGGUAAUACGUAGGGGGCAGGCGUUAUCCGGAUUUACUGGGUGUAAAGGGGGCGUAGACGGUUAUGUAAGUCUGGAGUGAAGUCCCGGGGCCCAACCCCGGGACUGCUUUGGAUACUGUGUAACUGGAGUACAGGAGGGGAAGGCUGAAUUCCUGGUGUAGCGGUGAAAUGCGUAGAUAUCAGGAGGAACACCGGCGGCGAAGGCGGCCUGCUGGACUGAAACUGACGUUGAGGCUCGAAAGCGUGGGGAGCAAACAGGAUUAGAUACCCUGGUAGUC